GACGAACGCUGGCGGCGUGCCUAAUACAUGCAAGUAGAACGCUGAAGGAGGAGCUUGCUCUUCUGGAUGAUUUGCGAACGGGUGAGUAACGCGUAGGUAACCUGCCUGGUAGCGGGGGAUAACUAUUGGAAACGAUAGCUAAUACCGCAUAACAUUAGAUGUUGCAUGACAUUUGCUUAAAAGGUGCAAUUGCACCACUACCAGAUGGACCUGCGUUGUAUUAGCUAGUUGGUGGGGUAACGGCUCACCAAGGCGACGAUACAUAGCCGACCUGGGAGGGUGAACGGCCAAAAUGGGACUGAGAAACGGCCCAGAAUCCUACGGGAGGCAGCAGUAGGGAAUCUUCGGCAAUGGACGGAAGUCUGAACGAGCAAAGGCGCGUGAGUGAAGAAGGUUUUCGGAUCGUAAAGAUCUGUUGUAAGAGAAGAAAGAGUGUGAGAGUGGAAAGUUCACACUGUGACGGUAUCUUACCAGAAAGGGACGGCUAACUACGUG
rnacentral:rRNA from 1 species